rnacentral:rRNA from 1 species
UACGUAGGGGGCGAGCGUUGUCCGGAUUUAUUGGGCGUAAAGAGCUCGUAGGCGGUUUGUCGCGUCUGCUGUGAAAUCCCGAGGCUCAACCUCGGGCCUGCAGUGGGUACGGGCAGACUGGAGUGCGGUAGGGGAGAAUGGAAUUCCUGGUGUAGCGGUGGAAUGCGCAGAUAUCAGGAGGAACACCGAUGGCGAAGGCAGUUCUCUGGGCCGUAACUGACGCUGAGGAGCGAAAGCGUAGGGAGCGAACAGG